UACGGAGGGUGCAAGCGUUAUCCGGAUUCACUGGGUUUAAAGGGUGCGUAGGUGGGAAUGUAAGUCAGUGGUGAAAUCUCCGUGCUUAACAUGGAAACUGCCGUUGAUACUAUGUUUCUUGAAUUUUCUGGAGGUCAGCGGAAUAUGUCAUGUAGCGGUGAAAUGCUUAGAUAUGACAUAGAACACCAAUUGCGAAGGCAGCUGACUACAGGGAUAUUGACACUGAGGCACGAAAGCGUGGGGAUCAAACAGG
rnacentral:rRNA from 1 species